rnacentral:rRNA from 1 species
GUGCCUAAUACAUGCAAGUCGAGCGGACAGAUGGGAGCUUGCUCCCUGAUGUUAGCGGCGGACGGGUGAGUAACACGUGGGUAACCUGCCUGUAAGACUGGGAUAACUCCGGGAAACCGGGGCUAAUACCGGAUGGUUGUUUGAACCGCAUGGUUCAGACAUAAAAGGUGGCUUCGGCUACCACUUACAGAUGGACCCGCGGCGCAUUAGCUAGUUGGUGAGGUAACGGCUCACCAAGGCGACGAUGCGUAGCCGACCUGAGAGGGUGAUCGGCCACACUGGGACUGAGACACGGCCCAGACUCCUACGGGAGGCAGCAGUAGGGAAUCUUCCGCAAUGGACGAAAGUCUGACGGAGCAACGCCGCGUGAGUGAUGAAGGUUUUCGGAUCGUAAAGCUCUGUUGUUAGGGAAGAACAAGUGCCGUUCAAAUAGGGCGGCACCUUGACGGU